AGUUUGAUCCUGGCUCAGAGAACGCUGGCGGCGUGCCUAUACAUGCAAGUCGAGCGAACAGAAGAGGAGCUUGCUCCUCGGAAGUUAGCGGCGGAUGGGUGAGUAACACGUGGGCAACCUGCCCUGUAGUUGGGGAUAACUCCGGAAACCGGGGCUAAUACCGAAUAAUUAAUCUUUCGCAUGAAAGAAUUCUAAAAGACGGCUUCGGCUGUCACUACGGGAUGGGCCCGCGGCGCAUUAGCUAGUUGGUGGGGUAAUGGCCUACCAAGGCAACGAUGCGUAGCCGACCUGAGAGGGUGAUCGGCCACACUGGGACUGAGACACGGCCCAGACUCCUACGGGAGGCAGCAGUAGGGAAUCAUCCACAAUGGACGAAAGUCUGAUGGUGCAACGCCGCGUGAGCGAAGAAGGUUUUCGGAUCGUAAAGCUCUGUUGCGAGGGAAGAACAAGUACGAGAGUAACUGCUCGUACCUUGACGGUACCUCGUUAGAAAGCCACGGCUAACUACGUG
rnacentral:rRNA from 1 species